ensembl:snRNA U1 U1 spliceosomal RNA
AUAUUUGUAUGACAGGGGAGAUACCAUGAUCACCAAGGUAGCUUUCCCAGUGCUAGGCUUAUCCACUACACACUAUAUGUGCUGACCACUGCAAUUUCUCCAAAUGUGGGAAACUCAAGUGCAUAAUUUGUGGUAGUGGGGGGAGAGUGUGAACACUGGGGAAAAAAGUGUACAAAAGUCCCAG